GUUUGAUCCUGGCUCAGGACGAACGCUGGCGGCGUGCCUAACACAUGCAAGUCGAGCGAAGUAUAUUUAAGUGAAGUUUUCGGACGGAACUUAAAUAUAUCUUAGCGGCGGACGGGUGAGUAACGCGUGAGCAACCUGCCUUUCACAAAGGGAUAGCCUCGGGAAACUGGGAUUAAUACCAUAUGAAACUUAACUUUCGCAUGAAAGAUAAGUCAAAGCGAAUAAGCGGUGAAAGAUGGGCUCGCGUCCUAUUAGCUAGUUGGUGAGGUAACGGCUCACCAAGGCGACGAUAGGUAGCCGGCCUGAGAGGGUGAACGGCCACACUGGAACUGAGACACGGUCCAGACUCCUACGGGAGGCAGCAGUGGGGGAUAUUGCACAAUGGAGGAAACUCUGAUGCAGCGACGCCGCGUGAGUGAAGAAGGCCUUCGGGUCGUAAAGCUCUGUCCUAGGGGAAGAUAAUGACGGUACCCUAGGAGGAAGCCCCGGCUAACUACGUGCCAGCAGCCGCGGUAAUACGUAGGGGGCGAGCGUUGUCCGGAAUUACUGGGCGUAAAGAGUUCGUAGGCGGUCUGAUAAGUCAGAUGUGAAAGGCGUAGGCUUAACCUAUGUAAGCAUAUGAAACUGUCAGACUUGAGGUAAGGAGAGGAAAGUGGAAUUCCUAGUGUAGCGGUGAAAUGCGUAGAUAUUAGGAGGAAUACCAGUGGCGAAGGCGACUUUCUGGACUUAAACUGACGCUGAGGAACGAAAGCGUGGGGAGCAAACAGGAUUAGAUACCCUGGUAGUCCACGCCGUAAACGAUGAGUGCUAGGUGUCGGGUAGAAAUAUUCGGUGCCGCAGCUAACGCAAUAAGCACUCCGCCUGGGGAGUACGUACGCAAGUAUGAAACUCAAAGGAAUUGACGGGGACCCGCACAAGCAGCGGAGCAUGUGGUUUAAUUCGAAGCAACGCGAAGAACCUUACCAGGGCUUGACAUGCCCCUGACAUCACUAGAGAUAGUGAGUUAUCCUUUCGGGGAUACAGGGGACACAGGUGGUGCAUGGUUGUCGUCAGCUCGUGUCGUGAGAUGUUGGGUUAAGUCCCGCAACGAGCGCAACCCUUGUAUUUAGUUGCCAGCAUUAAGUUGGGCACUCUAGAUAGACUGCCGUGGACAACACGGAGGAAGGUGGGGAUGACGUCAAAUCAUCAUGCCCUUUAUGUCCUGGGCUACACACGUGCUACAAUGGUCGGUACAACGAGCAGCAAGCUAGUGAUAGCAAGCGAAUCUCUAAAAGCCGAUCCCAGUUCGGAUUGUAGGCUGCAACUCGCCUACAUGAAGUCGGAGUUGCUAGUAAUCGCGAAUCAGCAUGUCGCGGUGAAUGCGUUCCCGGGUCUUGUACACACCGCCCGUCACACCAUGGGAGUUGUCAAUACCCGAAGCCAGUGAGCUAACCAGAAAUGGAGGCAGCUGUCGAAGGUAGGGGCAAUGACUGGGGUGAAGUCGUAACAAGGUUCCCCUU
rnacentral:rRNA from 1 species